rnacentral:rRNA from 1 species
AACGAACGCUGGCGGCAUGCCUAACACAUGCAAGUCGAACGCACCUUCGGGUGAGUGGCGGACGGGUGAGUAACGCGUGGGAACCUGCCUUUCAGUACGGAAUAACCAAGGGAAACUCUGGCUAAUACCGUAUACGUCCUUCGGGAGAAAGAUUAUCGCUGAAAGAUGGGCCCGCGUCCGAUUAGCUUGUUGGCGGUGUAAUGGACCACCAAGGCGACGAUCGGUAGCUGGUCUUAGAGGAUGAUCAGCCACACUGGGACUGAGACACGGCCCAGACUCCUACGGGAGGCAGCAGUGGGGAAUAUUGGACAAUGGGCGAAAGCCUGAUGCAGCAAUGCCGCGUGAGUGAUGAAGGCCUUAGGGUUGUAAAGCUCUUUUACCAGGGAAGAUGAUGACUGUACCUGGAGAAUAAGCCCCGGCUAACUCCGUGCCAGCCGCCGCUGUAACAC